rnacentral:rRNA from 1 species
CCUACGGGUGGCUGCAGUAAGGAAUAUUGGUCAAUGGAGGAAACUCUGAACCAGCCAUCCCGCGUGAAGGAUGAAGGGGCUCUGCCUUGUAAACUUCUUUUGUCUGGGGCGAAAAAGCUCGAUUUAUCGAGAACUGACGGUACCAGAGGAAUAAGCCCCGGCUAACUCCGUGCCAGCAGCCGCGGUAAUACGGAGGGUGCAGGAGUUAUCCGGAUGCACGGGGUUGUAGGGGGCUUAGUAAGUCAGUGGAGAAAGGCUGUGGCUUAACCAUGGAAUUGCCAUUGAUACUGCAGAGCUUGAAUGAGGUUGAGGUUGGCGGAAUGUGACAUGUAGCGGUGAAAUGCUUAGAUAUGUCAUGGAACACCGAUUGCGAAGGCAGCUGACUGGACCUAUAUUGACGCUGAGGCACGAAAGCGUGGGGAGCGAACAGGAUUAGAUACCCGAGUAGUC